rnacentral:rRNA from 1 species
UACAGAGGGUGCGAGCGUUGUCCGGAAUCACUGGGCGUAAAGGGCGCGUAGGUGGCGACCCAAGUCGAUGGUGAAAGCUCGCCGCUCAACGGCGAGUCGGCCACCGAUACUGGGUUGCUGGAGCACUGUAGAGGCUCAUGGAAUUCCGGGUGUAGCGGUGGAAUGCGUAGAGAUCCGGAAGAACGACCGGUGGCGAAGGCGGUGAGCUGGGCAGUUGCUGACACUGAGGCGCGGACAGCGUGGGGAGCCAAACAGG